AACGAACGCUGGCGGCAGGCCUAACACAUGCAAGUCGAGCGAACCCUUCGGGGUUAGCGGCGGACGGGUUAGUAACGCGUGGGAAUAUACCCUUUGGUACGGAAUAGCCUCGGGAAACUGAGAGUAAUACCGUAUGUGCCCUUCGGGGAAGGAUUAUCGCCAAAGGAUUAGCCCGCGUUGGAUUAGAUAGUUGGUGGGGUAAUGGCCUACCAAGUCUACGAUCCAUAGCUGGUUUGAGAGGAUGAUCAGCAACACUGGGACGUGAGACACGGCCCAGACUCCUACGGGAGGCAGCAGUGGGGAAGUCUUAGACAAUGGGCGGCAAGCCUGAUCUAGCCAUGCCGCCGUGGACGAUGAAGGCCUUA
rnacentral:rRNA from 1 species